UUCUCUCUCCAUGUUAUUUAUGUGUUUCAAUAAAAACAAAACGCUCUCACAGACGUUCCCUCUCCCUCUCUUUCUCUUCUCUUUCUUCUUCUCCCCUAUCCUCUCUUUUUUCUUCUUCUGUUUUCCUUUUCUUUCUCCAGACGCUCCCUCUCCCUCUCUUUCUUUCUGUUAUGCACAGUCUCUCCGUCCCCCUCUCUUUCUAUUAUGUUCUUUUUCAGGGCAGGUUCCGACAACUGGUGGACUGUUCCGUUGAUGACCUUCUGGGGGUGAUUUAGAAGAGUUUUCCGGUGAUUUUUCCUAAGUUUCAAGUAUGAAAUUAUCAAAGGUUUCCGACAGUGGCCGUGUGUGGUGAGUUUGGCUGAUUUAUUAGAUGAGGUUGGAUUUUGGGGGAUACGGCCAAGCUCUGUUUUGGGUAUUUUCUGAAGGGAGGAUAGACGAUGGUGAUGGUUCGAGAAAUAAGAAGAAAGUGAGGGACUUAGAAAAUGGGGGUUCCCAGAAAAUCAAGGCCGUCGAGGAGUUUCGAGGGAUGGGGAUUCGGCAAUUGCAUGAACAAGCGGCUCUUCGAGGCGUUUCAUCAAUUGGGUCCAAGAAAUAGCUUCUAGAAAGGCUCUGUGAAGAUUCAAAAGACUAGUAUUUAGAGGAAAUUCCUGAAGCUAACGAAAAAGAAAAUGAAAGCAAGAAGGAGAAGGAGAAGAUCAUAACCACAACCAAAAAGGGUGCAGCGGUACUAGAUCAAUGGCUUCCAGAUCACAUAAAGGCUCACUACCAUGUUUUACAACUCGUAAGUGUAACAGUUACUAUAGUAGCGCGUACUAAAUGAGUGGAAUUUUUGUACAGUAGAAUGUAAUCAAAAUUGGUAGAAUUUGUUCGGGUGUUCUUUUUUGUUUUGCGGGGUUCUGAAUUCGGACAGACGGUGGCUUUUAUGGUGCAGGGUGAUUUAAUAUUUGAUGCCAUGUUGAACCAGACGAAUGUUGGAGAUAACAAUAACAAAUUUUUUGUGAUUCAAGCUCUUGGUUAAUUGUGAAGUCCUUUAGAAAAUUUUGGUUACUCUAAUAUAUAUGUUUUGAUUAAGUCAUUGUUAAGC